ACCAGCUUCAAGAAAACACUUUUUGGCCAAUACUGAAAAAAUGAAUGCCUACUCGAAUAAAUCAACAGAUUAGUAUAGCAAAUGGCAUCUUGCUCCUAGCCAGGAAGAAAGUGAAGAGGAGAAGGGCACCUUCUAGGGGUCUUGCUUAUGUACCAGGGCCACUAAAAAAAUGAAGUUUGAGGGUUUCAUCUUAGCCAUCAAUUUUUUGCUUUGAUGGAAAUUUAAUCUAAUACAAACUGCUAUGCGCUUUCCACUUCUCAAAUCCACUUAUUACUAUUUCUU
rnacentral:lncRNA from 1 species